rnacentral:rRNA from 1 species
GACGAACGCUGGCGGCGUGCUUAACACAUGCAAGUCGGGCGGUAAGGCCCUUUCGGGGGUACACGAGCGGCGAACGGGUGAGUAACACGUGGGUGACCUGCCCUCAGCUCUGGGAUAAGCCUGGGAAACUGGGUCUAAUACCGGAUAUGACUCCAUGACGCAUGUUGUGGGGUGGAAAGCCUUGUGCGGCUGGGGAUGGGCCCGCGGCCUAUCAGCUUGUUGGUGGGGUGAUGGCCACCAAGGCGACGACGGGUAGCCGGCCUGAGGGGGCGACCGGCCACACUGGGACGUGAGACACGGCCCAGACUCCUACGGGGGCGAGCAGUGGGGAAGUCUUG